rnacentral:rRNA from 1 species
GCAGUCGAGGGGCAGCAUGAACUUAGCUUGCUAAGUUUGAUGGCGACCGGCGCACGGGUGAGUAACACGUAUCCAACCUGCCGAUGACUCGGGGAUAGCCUUUCGAAAGAAAGAUUAAUACCCGAUGGCAUAGUUCUUCCGCAUGGUAGAACUAUUAAAGAAUUUCGGUCAUCGAUGGGGAUGCGUUCCAUUAGGUUGUUGGCGGGGUAACGGCCCACCAAGCCUUCGAUGGAUAGGGGUUCUGAGAGGAAGGUCCCCCACAUUGGAACUGAGACACGGUCCAAACUCCUACGGGAGGCAGCAGUGAGGAAUAUUGGUCAAUGGACGAGAGUCUGAACCAGCCAAGUAGCGUGAAGGAUGACUGCCCUAUGGGUUGUAAACUUCUUUUAUACGGGAAUAAAGUGAGGCACGUGUGCCUUUUUGUAUGUACCGUAUGAAUAAGGAUCGGCUAACUCCGUGCCAGCAGCCGCGGUAAUACGGAGGAUCCGAGCGUUAUCCGGAUUUAUUGGGUUUAAAGGGAGCGUAGGCGGACGCUUAAGUCAGUUGUGAAAGUUUGCGGCUCAACCGUAAAAUUGCAGUUGAUACUGGGUGUCUUGAGUACAGUAGAGGCAGGCGGAAUUCGUGGUGUAGCGGUGAAAUGCUUAGAUAUCACGAAGAACUCCGAUUGCGAAGGCAGCUUGCUGGACUGUAACUGACGCUGAUGCUCGAAAGUGUGGGUAUCAAACAGGAUUAGAUACCCUGGUAGUCCACACAGUAAACGAUGAAUACUCGCUGUUUGCGAUAUACAGUAAGCGGCCAAGCGAAAGCGUUAAGUAUUCCACCUGGGGAGUACGCCGGCAACGGUGAAACUCAAAGGAAUUGACGGGGGCCCGCACAAGCGGAGGAACAUGUGGUUUAAUUCGAUGAUACGCGAGGAACCUUACCCGGGCUUGAAUUGCAACUGAAUGAUGUGG